GACUCGUCACACUAUCAUUAACUGAAUCCAUAGGUUAAUGAGGCGAACCGGGGGAACUGAAACAUCUAAGUACCCCGAGGAAAAGAAAUCAACCGAGAUUCCCCCAGUAGCGGCGAGCGAACGGGGAGGAGCCCAGAGCCUGAAUCAGCAUGUGUGUUAGUGGAAGCGUCUGGAAAGGCGCGCGAUACAGGGUGACAGCCCCGUACACAAAAGCGCAUGUGCUGUGAGCUCGAUGAGUAGGGCGGGACACGUGGUAUCCUGUCUGAAUAUGGGGGGACCAUCCUCCAAGGCUAAAUACUCCUGACUGACCGAUAGUGAACCAGUACCGUGAGGGAAAGGCGAAAAGAACCCCGGCGAGGGGAGUGAAAAAGAACCUGAAACCGUGUACGUACAAGCAGUGGGAGCCCCACCACUAAGCCAGUGGUGAACUCCACAUACGCAUCCUUUGCUGAGGAUACGGUUAACGGAGCGAAAGCGACGUUCAACCGCAAAAGAAGCAGAGGGGGCUUAGUGGUGGGGUGACUGCGUACCUUUUGUAUAAUGGGUCAGCGACUUAUAUUCUGUAGCAAGGUUAACCGAAUAGGGGAGCCGGAGGGAAACCGAGUCUUAAUUGGGCGUUAAGUUGCAGGGUAUAGACCCGAAACCCGGUGAUCUAGCCAUGGGCAGGUUGAAGGUUGGGUAACACUAACUGGAGGACCGAACCGACUAAUGUUGAAAAAUUAGCGGAUGACCUGUGGCUGGGGGUGAAAGGCCAAUCAAACCGGGAGAUAGCUGGUUCUCCCCGAAAGCUAUUUAGGUAGCGCCUCGUGAAUUCAUCUCCGGGGGUAGAGCACUGUUUCGGCUAGGGGGCCAUCCCGGCUUACCAACCCGAUGCAAACUGCGAAUACCGGAGAAUGUUAUCACGGGAGACACACGGCGGGUGCUAACGUCCGUCGUGAAGAGGGAAACAACCCAGACCGCCAGCUAAGGUCCCAAAGUCAUGGUUAAGUGGGAAACGAUGUGGGAAGGCCCAGACAGCCAGGAUGUUGGCUUAGAAGCAGCCAUCAUUUAAAGAAAGCGUAAUAGCUCACUGGUCGAGUCGGCCUGCGCGGAAGAUGUAACGGGGCUAAACCAUGCACCGAAGCUGCGGCAGCGAACGUAUCACCCAAGACAACUUUACGGAGUUGACGAUUGACGGAGCGAAGCGACGUCAAAGCGUUCAUUAAAGUCGAGUUGGCUUAGGGAUACGUUCGUUGGGUAGGGGAGCGUUCUGUAAGCCUGUGAAGGUGUGUCGUGAGGCAUGCUGGAGGUAUCAGAAGUGCGAAUGCUGACAUAAGUAACGAUAAAGCGGGUGAAAAGCCCGCUCGCCGGAAGACCAAGGGUUCCUGUCCAACGUUAAUCGGGGCAGGGUGAGUCGACCCCUAAGGCGAGGCCGAAAGGCGUAGUCGAUGGGAAACGGGUUAAUAUUCCCGUACUUGGUGUUACUGCGAAGGGGGGACGGAGAAGGCUAUGUUGGCCGGGCGACGGUUGUCCCGGUUUAAGCGUGUAGGUGUGUGUUCCAGGUAAAUCCGGUUCACUUUAACACUGAGGCGUGACGACGAGGCACUACGGUGCUGAAGCAACAAAUGCCCUGCUUCCAGGAAAAGCCUCUAAGCAUCAGGUAACAUCAAAUCGUACCCCAAACCGACACAGGUGGUCAGGUAGAGAAUACCAAGGCGCUUGAGAGAACUCGGGUGAAGGAACUAGGCAAAAUGGUGCCGUAACUUCGGGAGAAGGCACGCUGACACGUAGGUGAAGUGAUUUACUCACGGAGCUGAAGUCAGUCGAAGAUACCAGCUGGCUGCAACUGUUUAUUAAAAACACAGCACUGUGCAAACACGAAAGUGGACGUAUACGGUGUGACGCCUGCCCGGUGCCGGAAGGUUAAUUGAUGGGGUCAGCGCAAGCGAAGCUCCUGAUCGAAGCCCCGGUAAACGGCGGCCGUAACUAUAACGGUCCUAAGGUAGCGAAAUUCCUUGUCGGGUAAGUUCCGACCUGCACGAAUGGCGUAAUGAUGGCCAGGCUGUCUCCACCCGAGACUCAGUGAAAUUGAACUCGCUGUGAAGAUGCAGUGUACCCGCGGCAAGACGGAAAGACCCCGUGAACCUUUACUAUAGCUUGACACUGAACAUUGAGCCUUGAUGUGUAGGAUAGGUGGGAGGCUUUGAAGUGUGGACGCCAGUCUGCAUGGAGCCGACCUUGAAAUACCACCCUUUAAUGUUUGAUGUUCUAACGUGGACCCGUUACCCGGGUUGCGGACAGUGUCUGGUGGGUAGUUUGACUGGGGCGGUCUCCUCCUAAAGAGUAACGGAGGAGCACGAAGGUUGGCUAAUCCUGGUCGGACAUCAGGAGGUUAGUGCAAUGGCAUAAGCCAGCUUGACUGCGAGCGUGACGGCGCGAGCAGGUGCGAAAGCAGGUCAUAGUGAUCCGGUGGUUCUGAAUGGAAGGGCCAUCGCUCAACGGAUAAAAGGUACUCCGGGGAUAACAGGCUGAUACCGCCCAAGAGUUCAUAUCGACGGCGGUGUUUGGCACCUCGAUGUCGGCUCAUCACAUCCUGGGGCUGAAGUAGGUCCCAAGGGUAUGGCUGUUCGCCAUUUAAAGUGGUACGCGAGCUGGGUUUAGAACGUCGUGAGACAGUUCGGUCCCUAUCUGCCGUGGGCGCUGGAGAACUGAGGGGGGCUGCUCCUAGUACGAGAGGACCGGAGUGGACGCAUCACUGGUGUUCGGGUUGUCAUGCCAAUGGCACUGCCCGGUAGCUAAAUGCGGAAGAGAUAAGUGCUGAAAGCAUCUAAGCACGAAACUUGCCCCGAG
rnacentral:rRNA from 1 species